rnacentral:lncRNA from 1 species
UGCAUAGGAAAUGCAGCAUGAAUUUUGUAGUCACAAAAGUGUAAAACAUACACAGAGUAAAACAUACACAGAGACUAAGAAGUAGUUGAUUAAAGGUCCUAGAUCUCUGAAUAACAACAACGGCAGAAAGAACUCAGUAACAAAUUUAAGCCUCUUUUCAGAGGUUGCUUUUUGAUUCACUGGCCACAAUGUCUGUCCCAGCACCCUGAGUGUGAUGGGAUAGAGCUAUGGACCGGCCCGGACUAAAGGCAGACGGUAGGUAAUAGCAGCUAGCUUCAUCUUAAUGCCACUGCAGGAAGUAAGUCAGCUGGCAGAAUAGAUCCAGACUUCUGCUUCCCCUACAAGCUUGUCUUGCCUCAACACACUGAGACUUACAGUAAUGAAUAAUGGGCAUCAUGACUUAGAAAUCAGUUAGAGAGUUAUGGCGGUACGAAGGGUCAUUCCAAAGCCUGGAAAAGAAGGAAAGAAAGAAGCCUAUUCCUAGACCUCAAGCCAAGGUCUCAUCACUCCCAUCAACAGGUGGUGGUCACCUGCAGGGCUCCCAUAAUCAAACAGGUGGUGGUCACCUGCAGUGUUCCCAUCAUCAAACAGGUGGUGGUCACCUGCAGUGUUCCCAUCAACAAAUAGGCGGUAGUCACCUGCAGUGCUCCCAUCCACAGGUGGUGGUCACCUGCAGGGCUCCCAUCAACAGGUGGUAGUCACCUGCAGUGCUCCCAUCAUCAAACAAGUGGUAGUCACCUGCAGUGCUCCCAUCAUCAAACAGGUGGUAGUCACCUGCAGUGCUCCCAUCAUCAAACAGGUGGUAGUCACCUGCAGUGCUCCCAUCAACAGGUGGUGGUCACCUGUAGUGCUCCCAUCAACAAAUGGUGGUCACCUGCAGUGCAGUGUUGAGAAGAAUAUGAGAGAGUAAAUGCCAACAGUAAUAAUAAUGACGUGUAGCACGCCUUGAAUGCUAAGCACUAUUUUAACAGCUUUAAGAAGAAUUAUUGCAUUAUUGAACUCUCAAAUAGACUUAGCAGAUGAAGCAAUGCUAUUAUCCACAUUCUAGAGAGGAGAAAAUCAAGUCACAGUAAGUUCUGUGAUGACUAUACCCAAGUUUGGGACCAGGAGCCUCAGCCCCAGAGCAUUACCACUGUUUUAGAUCCUCCAAUCAGGUUGCCAGAUUUAGCCAAUAGCUACAGCACACCAGCAAAAUUUGGAGUUCAAAUAAGCAAUGAUUGUUAGCAUAGAUAUGCUUAUCCUUCACACCUUUGAAGAAAGCAAUACCACAGGGUGGGGGGAAGACUUCAGAUGUUCAAAUUCAUCAUCUAAAUGACAUUGAUGUUCACAAAACCAGCACAUAUUGUCCUUUUUUUUUUUUUUUUUUUUUUAAGUAACCUCUUCCCAGAAGCUAAAUAAUGAAGCAACUAAAUCAGGGACUUGGCGCUCACACAUGCAAUGUCGUAUGUAAGAUAAACACCAUAUAAAUAGUUACUAGGCUGUAUCUUCUAAGAAAUGAUGCUAAGAAAAGUACCUGCACAUAGUCAAUACAGACACGAUCCCACACAUACAGCAAACAUGUUAAAUCCAGUUGGUGGGCUCCACAGAUGCAGACACUGUAAGUACAGAGGGCUAACUAUAUAUUCCCAAUAUUGCAUGGGGUAUCAUUGCCCAUCUGACAUUCAAAUUUCAUUGGGUAUUCUGUACUUCACAUCCCUACACCUGAAAGUCUAGGGAAUAGCAAGUCAUUUAAUUUAUUUGUAGGCAUUUGCUUUAUUUAUACGCAUACCUUUUCCUGACUUCUUUAUCCACUACCAGCUUAUGAGCUUUCCUCAAGUUCGAUGUCAGGGAACUUGUCACCAAAAUAUAAAGCCAGUCCACCAUUUCUGCACAGCCUGGGAGCUAUGGAUAACUGUCCUCUACAUUUAAUGUCUGAAACAACCAAAGAAAUGCAAUAUUCUAUGACAUAUUAAAAUUUAUGAAAUCUGGCUGGGUAUAGUAGCAGCUGCAUAUAAUCCCAGAAUUCAGAAGGUAGGGGAGUUAUGAUUUCUGAGGCCAGCUGGGGCUAUACAGUAAAACCCUCUCCUAAAAAUAUUAUACGGAAUUUAAUUUUCUGUUACUGUGAAUAAAGUUUUAUUGAAACGUAGCCAAGGUCACUUGUUUAUGUAUAGUCUAUAGUUUCUUUCAUACAAUAAUAACCACCAAACAGAUUGAAUAAAGACUGCACGGUCCACAAGUAUUCACUAUUUCAUUUCUGGCCUUUUGCAGAAAAAGCUGGCCAAUGCUUUUUUUGAGACAAGUUUUCAAUGACAACUUGGAAAAUGACACUAAAGAAAAUUAAGUUUCUAGGACAGUGUGUCAGAACCCCUUUGCUUUCUUCUGCAGUAAAAUUAGUUCUUUCAGCUGGGCAUGGCGCCUUUGAUCCCAGCACUGGGGAGGCAGAGGCAGGCGGAUUUCUGAGUUCCAGGCCAGCCUGGUCUACAGAGUGAGUUCCAGGACAGCCAGGGCUACAUAGAGAAACCCUGUCUUGAAAAACAAAAACAAAAAACAAAAACAAAAACAAAAAACAAAAAC